rnacentral:rRNA from 1 species
GAUGAACGCUGGCGGCGUGCCUAAUACAUGCAAGUCGAGCGAACAGACGAGGAGCUUGCUCCUUUGACGUUAGCGGCGGACGGGUGAGUAACACGUAGGUAACCUACUUAUAAGACUGGGAUAACUUCGGGAAACCGGAGCUAAUACCGGAUAAUAUUUCGAACCGCAUGGUUCGAUAGUGAAAGAUGGCUUUGCUAUCACUUAUAGAUGGACCUGCGCCGUAUUAGCUAGUUGGUAAGGUAACGGCUUACCAAGGCAACGAUACGUAGCCGACCUGAGAGGGUGAUCGGCCACACUGGAACUGAGACACGGUCCAGACUCCUACGGGAGGCAGCAGUAGGGAAUCUUCCGCAAUGGGCGAAAGCCUGACGGAGCAACGCCGCGUGAGUGAUGAAGGUCUUCGGAUCGUAAAACUCUGUUAUUAGGGAAGAACAAACGUGUAAGUAACUGUGCACGUCUUGACGGUACCUAAUCAGAAGGCCACGGCUAACUACGUG